GGGUUUGGCAUGGGGGGAACCCUGAUCCGCCUGCCGCGUGUGUGAAGAAGGCCUUUUGGUUGUAAAGCACUUUAAGCGAGGAGGAGGCUACUUGGAUUAAUACUCUGAGAUAGUGGACGUUACUCGCAGAAUAAGCACCGGCUAACUCUGUGCCAGCAGCCGCGGUAAUACAGAGGGUGCAAGCGUUAAUCGGAUUUACUGGGCGUAAAGCGUGCGUAGGUGGCCAAUUAAGUCAAAUGUGAAAUCCCUGAGCUUAACUUAGGAAUUGCAUUCGAUACUGGUUGGCUAGAGUAUGGGAGAGGAUGGUAGAAUUCCAGGUGUAGCGGUGAAAUGCGUAGAGAUCUGGAGGAAUACCGAUGGCGAAGGCAGCCAUCUGGCCUAAUACUGACACUGAGGUACGAAAGCAUGG
rnacentral:rRNA from 1 species